rnacentral:tRNA from 1 species
CGCGGUGUAGCUCAGUCAGGUAGAGCGUCGGGCUCAUACCCCGAAUGUCGUUGGAUCGAAGCCAACCAUCGCAACCA